rnacentral:rRNA from 1 species
UACGAGGGGGGCGAGCGUUGUUCGGAUUCAUUGGGCGUAAAGGGUGCGUAGGUGGCGGGGUAAGUCAGGUGUGAAAUCUCGGAGCUCAACUCCGAAACUGCACUUGAUACUGCCUUGCUUGAGUACUGGAGAGGAGAUUGGAAUUUACGGUGUAGCAGUGAAAUGCGUAGAUAUCGUAAGGAAGACCAGUGGCGAAGGCGAAUCUCUGGACAGUUACUGACACUGAGGCACGAAGGCCAGGGGAGCAAACAGG